AACACACAAACACAAAGUUAGAGAGCUAUGCUGGCCCCAGAGGACCUAACUGUCACUUUGAAGUUUCAUCAUCCAUAAAGUUUACCAUGAUUAAACUUACGAUAGGUAAGGGUACCUACAAUAGGUACCCUUACCUAUCGUAAGUUAUUAACGAUAGGUAACAAAUGUAAUUUGAUGUUUUGCAUCAUUAAAAAACUAUUAACAAAUAGUACUUAGUGUUACUGAGUGUUACUAGCGUUAGCAAAUGAUAAAAAGCAUCAAGGACCUUUGGUUAAUACAGACUGAUUGGGUUCUAUCUAUUGAUUAACACACACUAGAGGUGUGUUAAUCAAUCGGCCACCGAUCAUAAUCGGCCGAGUUCUGUGAAAAAGUGUAUGAUCGGUGAUACCGACACCUGUAUCUCAUUCGCAGCAUGCAUGUGCAGCCGUCUCCUCUUUCCUUCACACUGCGCAAACGUGCAAGUCCGAACCCCCACAAUGUUGGAAAAGUCUAGAAUUGUUCCCCCCCCCAAAGAAAUCAUGAAAGAAACCCUUGUAUUUACACAAUAUCAAUAUAAAAAAGGCAAUAGAAACUAAGAAUGAAGUAAAUCUGCCAUUCAUCUAAGAAAAA